UGUAUAAUUUAAACAUAUAGUGACGAAAUUAUACAUUUAUUGAUAUGAAAAUGCAUGGUCUCGUAUAUAUGAAGUGGUUGGGAGAUAGAGAAGUGGUCUAGUAUACAUUUAUUCAUUAGUAUGAUACGUGUUUAUUUGGCAUGUUAUAAAUAAGGUGCAGAACACUUUCAUAUCUGAUUGAUACAGUACUUAAGUGCAGUAUAGAACUCCACCGAUAGUUGCAUCCAUAAUUCUACCAAACAAUCGUGAUGGGCAAGUGUUUGCUAGGAAAGAAUCUGUUCAUCAUCGUCGUUCUUGCAUUUUUGUGUGAGUCUCUCUCUCUCUCCCCCUCCUCCUCUCUCUCUCUCUCUCCCCCUCCCUCUCCACCCCUCCCUCCCUCCCUCCCUCUCUCUCUCUCUCUCUCUCUCUCUCUCUCAUGCCACUGUGAAAAUGGUGCAGGUAUGAAGCUGUCAGAAUUACCAAAAGCGGAAGGCGUGAUAAAAUUCUGUGAGGUUGAUGUGGAAUGCGAUUAUUUUGAUCCGUAUUGCAAAGCUAUAGGAAAAUAUCCAGAGUGCCACAAAUUCUUGCAUAUAUGUACCUGCAAAUUUUUGGACUUCAAGGGUCAACUCUCAGCUGAUAAGAAUACAGUCG
rnacentral:lncRNA from 1 species